CAAGCGUCUGGGGUAAGAGGAGUCGCUGCCCACUGAUGAGUCUAGGCAGUGACUCCGAGACGAAACGCAUU
rnacentral:hammerhead_ribozyme from 17 species